rnacentral:rRNA from 1 species
UACGUAGGGGGCAAGCGUUGUCCGGAAUCAUUGGGCGUAAAGAGCGCGUAGGCGGUCCGGUAAGUCGGUUGUGAAAACUGGGGGCUCAACCCUCAGAGGCCGACCGAUACUGUCGGGCUAGAGUCCGGAAGAGGCGAGUGGAAUUCCUGGUGUAGCGGUGAAAUGCGCAGAUAUCAGGAGGAACACCAAUGGCGAAGGCAGCUCGCUGGGACGGUACUGACGCUGAGGCGCGAAAGCGUGGGUAGCAAACAGG